rnacentral:rRNA from 1 species
UACGUAGGGGGCAAGCGUUGUCCGGAUUUAUUGGGCGUAAAGAGCGUGUAGGCGGCCUGAAAGGUCAGCUGUGAAAACUCGAGGCUCAACCUCGAGACGUCGGUUGAAACCAUCUGGCUAGAGUCCGGAAGAGGAGAGUGGAAUUCCCGGUGUAGCGGUGAAAUGCGCAGAUAUCGGGAAGAACACCCGUGGCGAAGGCGGCUCUCUGGGACGGUACUGACGCUGAGAAGCGAAAGCAUGGGGGAGCGAACAGG